rnacentral:rRNA from 1 species
CCUACGGGCGGCAGCAGUGGGGAAUAUUGGGCAAUGGAGGCACCUCUUACCCAGCAAUGCCGCGUGAAUGAAGAAUGUCUUCGGAUUGUAAAGUUCUUUAAUUGGGGACGAAAAGAAUGACGGUACCAAAGGAAUAGACCCCGGCUAACUACGUGACAGCAGCCGCGGUAAUACGUAGGGGGCAAGCGUUGUCCGGAAUGACUGGGCGUAAAGGGUGUGUAGGCGGGGUAGCCAGUUAGAAGUGAAAUACCUAGAGCUUAACUCAGGUGCUGCUUCUAAAACUGCUAUACUUGAGUGCAGUAGAGGAAAGUGGAAUUCCUAGUGUAGCGGUGGAAUGCGUAGAUAUUAGGCGGAACACCAGUGGCGAAGGCGACUUUCUGGACUGUAACUGACGCUGAGGCACGAAAGUGUGGGGAGCAAACAGGAUUAGAUACCCGAGUAGUC